UUGGGAAUCUUGCACAAUGGGGGAAACCCUGAUGCAGCGACGCCGCGUGGAGGAUGAAGGAUCUAGGUCUGUAAACUCCUUUUGUUGGGAAAGACUUAGGACGGUACCCAACGAAUAAGCACCGGCUAACUACGUGCCAGCAGCCGCGGUAAGACGUAGGGUGCAAGCGUUGUCCGGAUUUACUGGGCGUAAAGAGCGCGUAGGCGGCUCGUUAAGUGUGAAGUGAAAUCUCCAGGGCUCAACCCGGAAACCGCUUUACAUACUGGCAAGCUUGAGGAAUGCAGAGGUUAGUGGAAUUCCUGGUGUAGCGGUGAAAUGCGUUGAUAUCAGGAGGAACACCCAUGGCGAAGGCAGCUAACUGGGCAUUAUCUGACGCUGAGGCGCGAAAGCGUGGGUAGCAAACAGGAUUAGAUACCCUGGUAGUCCACGCCCUAAACGAUGGAUACUAGGCGUAAGAGGUAUCGACCCCUCUUGUGCCGCAGCUAACGCACUAAGUA
rnacentral:rRNA from 1 species